rnacentral:rRNA from 1 species
UACGUAGGGGGCAAGCGUUGUCCGGAUUUAUUGGGCGUAAAGAGCGUGUAGGCGGUUUGGUAGGUCCGCUGUGAAAACUCGAGGCUCAACCUCGAGACGCCGGUGGAAACCAUCAGGCUAGAGUCCGGAAGAGGAGAGUGGAAUUCCUGGUGUAGCGGUGAAAUGCGCAGAUAUCAGGAAGAACACCAGUGGCGAAGGCGGCUCACUGGACUGGUAUUGACGCUGAGGUGCGAAAGCGUGGGGAGCAAACAGG